AAACCAGCACCUCAAGUGGUCAGGAUGAUUAUUGGGCCUAAAGCAUCCGUAGCCGGCUCUGUAAGUUUUCGGUUAAAUCUGUACGCUUAACGUACAGGCUGCCGGGAAUACUGCAGAGCUAGGGAGUGGGAGAGGUAGACGGUACUCGGGAGGAAGUGGUAAAAUGCUUUGAUCUCUCGAUGACCACCUGUGGCGAAGGCGGUCUACCAGAACACGUUCGACGGUGAGGGAUGAAAGCUGGGGGAGCAAACCGGAUUAGAAACCCGAGUAGUCC
rnacentral:rRNA from 1 species